AGGACGAACGCUGGCGGCGUGCCUAACACAUGCAAGUCGAACGGAGCCCGCAAGGGUUCAGUGGCGAACGGGUGCGUAACACGUGAGGAACUUGUCCAUCGGCGGGGGAUAGCCGGCCCAACGGCCGGGUAAUACCGCGUACGCCGUCCGGAGCGCAUGCUCUGGCCGGGAAAGCAGCAAUGCACCGAUGGAGAGCCUCGCGGCCUAUCAGCUAGUUGGUGGGGUAAUGGCCUACCAAGGCGACGACGGGUAGCUGGUCUGAGAGGAUGACCAGCCACAUUGGGACUGAGACACGGCCCAGACUCCUACGGGAGGCAGCAGUGGGGGAAUAUUGCGCAAUGGGCGAAAGCCUGACGCAGCGACGCCGCGUGUGGGAUGACGGCCUUCGGGUUGUAAACCACUGUCGCGAGGGACGAAGAUCUGACGGUACCUCGAAAGGAAGCACCGGCUAACUCUGUGCCAGCAGCCGC
rnacentral:rRNA from 1 species